rnacentral:rRNA from 1 species
CAGUCGCCACGGGAAUACGUAGGGUGCGAGCGUUAAUCGGAAUUACUGGGCUUAAAGCGUGCGCAGGCGGUUCGUUAAGACAGAUGUGAAAUCCCCGGGCUUAACCUGGGAACUGCAUUUGUGACUGGCGAGCUAGAGUAUGGCAGAGGGGGGUAGAAUUCCACGUGUAGCAGUGAAAUGCGUAGAGAUGUGGAGGAAUACCGAUGGCGAAGGCAGCCCCCUGGGCCAAUACUGACGCUCAUGCACGAAAGCGUGGGGAGCAAACAGGAUUAGAUACCCCGGUAGUCCCUGUCUCUUAUAC